AUGAACACAAUUGCCCCUUCCUUCCUUCCUUCCUUCCUUCCUUCCUUCCUUCCUUCCUUCCUUCCUUCCUUCCCCUGUCUCUCUUUUCCUGCCUUUCUAACUUCCUGCCUUACAAAAGCAUUCCAGUUAGUGAAAAAAAAAGCUGUAUGUUCCCUUUAUAUUAUCAGAGCAGCAGGGUCUGGGGAGGAUGGACAAUUUGCUUCUAUCUGAACUUCAGCAAAAUGUGGUGUGUAUUUUCCCCCCCAAGCUGGACAGUGGAUGGAGACGCGAUGAUAAAUCAAGACCGGUUACAAGCAUGGUAAAAGGGAGAAACCGUGACCUCUCUGGAUAAGCUUAUCAACUCCUGCAAGAGUCAACAGACUUUGCAGAGAAAUACGAUGUGCCUUCAGAAAAGCACGCAUGGAAUUAAAAAGAAAAUGGAACCCCUACUUUUCUCUGUAAAUAUGGAUGAUGGAGGAGGCAAGGAACGACCAAGCUGGUUCCAGAAGCAAGGAAUCGGUUGAAAACGGUUGGCAACCCCUGCCUGUCUUCUCGUGGAGAAAGUGCUCCCUUUAGAGUCCAUCAGACAGGGUGGUCAUCCAGUCCUGAGUUCUGUUUCCCAUUGGAGUACUAGGGAAAAGGGGCUCAUCCAGCCCUCUUAAAGGUUGUCCUCUGGGUUGUCAGAAGUAGAAAAAUGAAGAGGUGAGCCUCGGGUGUCUCUGCGCCUCAGAAGAAUCUCUCCUGCCUUGUUCGGCGGUGCCGUCAAGGUUCAUCCAAGGUCAGACCGAGGCGCUGGCCAACGUGUUGGGAUGGGGAAGGGGACCUCCCUCCCCCUCCCUCCAUAUUUCAGAGGCCACGAGGAUUAGCAUGUGGAAGCACUGCAUGGCGGGGAGAGCUCCAAGCUCAACCACUCCACACACCCCCCCCGGGGAUUUCCUUUGCUCCCUUAGCUUAGGGUUCUCGUCCGCAAAGAGGCCAUGACAGCUCCAGCUGUUGGGAGAAUGAAAGGCAUUGCCAGCCAGACCAAAGGGAGAUCCUAGUCCCACAUGCUUUGCCACGAUGUGCCCACCACCAGUGGGGCUCGGACAAUCACAUACGUGAGACAGGGAGGCCCCCUUCCUCUUGUGCCUCUCCUAUGGGAGGUAAAGUGUCCUAAGGACAGUUCUGACUUUUGAUGCAGAACCUCAACAGCGCACUCCUUAACGCAUCCGAACCAACCUCCUGGGUUGUUCAGCCAGGAGGUUCUCCUCCUUCCUUUUGACUGUGGCUUGAAUGAUCAGCCGUAACAGUCCUUCCAGUUUCUGAUUCUGUGGCCAAACUUUCUAGCUUUUCUGCAAAUUAUGUGUUUUAUGACUUUUGUGGUCUGUUCGCUAUAGAAAUACCUACACUGGCCCAACCAUCUUGAGCCAAUAAAUUCUUGGCCACUUGGGACA
ensembl:lncRNA